rnacentral:miRNA from 2 species
UUUCCUAUUCCACCCAUGCCAA